GGGAAAUGAGGACCACCGCUCCGGGGCGCGAGUAGGCGCGUGGAGUCCGGGGGCUCAGCUGCCGCGCCUCUUCCUCCUGCAGCUGAAGAUUGCAACAGCGGCGGGUGCACCGGCAGCAGCGACGACCCUGCGCGCAGGUGGCAGUGUAGAAGCCAGACCGGGAGCUUCCAGAAGUGGUUUCUGAAAGAGUCAAAUGUACAUGAGUAAGCAAGCACAGGAAUCUGAAAAACCACAGGCCCACUAAUUUGCCUGCUUGACUAAAAUAAGGAUGAGUUUUGUGCUGAUGAGAGACAUGUUUGUAAUGUUAUUCGUUGUGACACAGUUCAAAAGAAUUUGCCUUUGAUUCUCACUAAAAUGUAAAGUUUUGCAUAUUAAGAUCCUUUUUCAACAACUGAGCAACUCUUUAUAAUGAAGGGCAGAAGACACCAAAGGGAAGAAAAUGUUUACCUUUGUGGGCUUUUACUUUCUUUCCUGGGAAUGGUAGGCCAU